UGGCGAAAUGAUACUAAUGUUAUUUUAGCUGAUGAGAUGGGUCUUGGUAAAACUGUUCAGUCAGUAUCCAUGCUUGGGUUUUUACAGAAUGCUCAACAUAUCCAUGGGCCAUUUCUUGUUGUUGUACCAUUAUCCACAUUGUCAAACUGGGCAAAAGAAUUUAGGAAGUGGCUACCUGAGAUGAAUAUUAUUGUAUAUG